GACGAACGCUGGCGGCGUGCUUAACACAUGCAAGUCGAACGGUAAGGCCCUUCGGGGUACACGAGUGGCGAACGGGUGAGUAACACGUGGGCGAUCUGCCCUGCACUUCGGGAUAAGCCUGGGAAACUGGGUCUAAUACCGGAUAGGACCACUGCCUGCAUGGGUGGUGGUGGAAAGCUUUUGCGGUGUGGGAUGGGCCCGCGGCCUAUCAGCUUGUUGGUGGGGUGAUGGCCGACCAAGGCGACGACGGGUAGCCGGCCUGAGAGGGUGACCGGCCGCACUGGGACUGAGAUACGGCCCAGACUCCUACGGGAGGCAGCAGUGGGGAAUAUUGCACAAUGGGCGCAAGCCUGAUGCAGCGACGCCGCGUGAGGGAUGACGGCCUUCGGGUUGUAAACCUCUUUCAGCACCGACGAAGCGCAAGUGACGGUAGGUGCAGAAGAAGGACCGGCCAACUACGUGCCAGCCGCCGCUGUAA
rnacentral:rRNA from 1 species